CAAGAAGCUUUCCUGAGAUAAUCAUUCAGCAAGCCAUUUCCUCUAAUGGAAACUGUGCUCCUCAAGACCGUCCACUGAAGGUCAAAUAAUUUUAUGUAGUAAAGGAGAAUAUUUGGCAUGACGCUUUGUAGUACAGACUUUGUGUUGUUUGGAGUAAUUGUAUGUGACGGCGAAUCGCUCAGUCUCUGAAAGCAGCACCUUCUGACUGUGCUAGUCGAGGGGUUGUAUUUGUCUCGUUGUUGCAGGAAUGGACAUGUCUAUGUAACUUGGUGCAAACCCGAAGAUUUGACCUUCUGUGACUCCAGUCAACUCAAGAUGAGAGAAGAUAGAUCG